CUUGGAGCGGACUGGGACCCUCGGGGAGGUCUCCUGGCUGCCAGCUCUCCGCGCGAAGCACACACCGUCCAGCCGGCUGUGGUGAGACACCGUUGGAACGGGUGACAGAGACAGGGCGCCCGAGCCUAGGGCAGGAGGAAGUAGCGACAAAGGGCAAAGGGAGAGGUCCAACGGCCCAACCCCAGGUGGCCUCGACCUCCCCGGGACUCCGCGCAGAUGUGAAGUAUUGCGGGGGCUCACCCUCAUAUGUGCCCCCCACAAUGUAGGGACUCUUUGGGUCUGCGGCUGCUCGACCCUGCAGUGCCUGGCCCGGGGACAGUAGCUUCUGCGAUCAGUGUCCAAGCAUCCUGCAGCUACUUCCCCGGGGUCACCGGAGGGAAGAACCUGCUCAGAGUCAGAGGAGCAGCCCAGCUCCAGGCAGCUCCGUGCUCAGGACACCUGACACCACCUCCUCCAGGAUGCUCUGUAAGCGCCUCUCCAAGUGUUGGAGUCAGGCGCUUUCUCUGAGGCCGGCCUGGAGGGCUGAGAACCUGGAGCAUCCCUAGCUGGGCCGUCAAGGUUUCUGAGGGGAGGAACCUGCGUCCUGACGUGCCCGGAUGCUGCGCCCCACAUCAUCCCUUCCUGGCAGGGACCAACAAUUGUCAGCAUACACCAUCAGGCCUUUCUCUUCUAAUUGAGCCUUGAGGCCAACCGCACUGUCUGUGAACACACGGACAGGCGAUGCACAGCAGCAGGGAUGAUGUGGCCUACAGUGAGGUCAGAUGGUGGGGGAAACACAGGGCAGAAGCAAGAGUGAGUCACCCCAUCUCUGCCUCCUGGACCGCCGUCCCUUGCAGACCUCCGAAGUCAGCACGUGGAGUUGCAGAGUGUGGCUACAUUAGUCAGAGAACAAAGACGUGCGAGCAGGGGAUGAAUUAACAUGAAGAAGGCUUUAUAUAGUUAACCUGGCAAAGAAAGUGAAAGGACCAUGAAGACACUGGUGGAACUUCCCAAGCCAGUGUAUCGGCCUCUGACCAACCUCAUCUUAACCCAUCUCCUAUGGCAUGUACAAAAGGACCUUGAGGUGUGGGGCCUCUGCUUGCUAUAGGAAGAAAAAGAGGUUAAGUUUGUGUGACGUAACUGGAAUGGGCUGAGCCUCUUCCUAGCAGAGUGAAGUUCACUCGUGGGAGACACUGGCCAUCUGCCACCAUGUCUAGAGGAAGCUUUUGCAUCUGGGCUGUUGAGUUCCUGCCUCUUUCACUAGAAGAAAAUGAAUGAACUUGCGAUUUACCACUUGCAUCUGGGCAGGUGAGGAGAGUGCCUUAAAAACGAGGCUGCUGUUGGCCAGGUCCACCACAGAGGCAGUUACUCUAAUCAGAGGCAGGAGCAAAGUGUGCCUGAAUCGCAGGUACUUUCUCAGUGGAUUAGGCUCCUACAAAGCCAGCAGGCGGUAGGUAUCCCAGCUGGGUAGGCCCCAAGUGUCUGACUGAAGGCUAGAACAGAAGUACCUGCCUAAAAAUGUACAGUGUCCCUUCUGGCUCUGGCCACGAACACCCCAGGUGUUCUGAAUGAUGGUGGGAACAGAAAUAUCCCCAAACACAGGAAUGGUGCUGUCUCCUCCCACUGCACCUGGCAGUGCACCAGUGCCCUGGACUGGAAGGUCCCUCGUGCUCUGACUGGAUUCACAGGUGUGGUGCCAGCCCCUCCGACAGUAACAGCUGUGCUCCCCUAGGUGUCUGAGAGAAGCCUGGAACGGAAGUGUUUAUCAGCCAGAUGGGCCCCAAUGCUCUGUCCAUAUGCAGGAAGAGAACUAGGUGCCUCAAAUGUGGAAUUGGGUUUGGGGACAGGCAUAAUGGCCUCAAAGCUGCCGCUACCCAAAGGGGCCUUGGAGCUGUUGGUGCACUCCCACUGCUGUGGGGGCCCCUUCUCUGAGAGUCCUGCCUUUGAUCACUGUUUGAUCAUCCUCCAUCACAGUUAUGCUGCUGUCCCUUCUCACUACACACGUGUGCUUCCAACAAAUAGAACCCAGGUUCUCUGACUGUAGGUGGGAACAAGCACAGGUGUGGUGUUGGAAACUUCAAUGCUGCAGACGUCUUCUGGUCAGGUGUGUCCCAGGUAGUCUGACCGUAGGCAGGAACAGAAGCAUCUCCAGCACAGUGAUGUGCUGGCUCCUCCCCCUGCACUGAUAUGCUGCAGCAGCACCGCACGCAUAAGAUCUAAGAAGUGCCUCCCGGCACGCAUUUAUUCUCAGUGGUGCCGUCUCCUUCAAUAGGAACAGGCGCGCUUUGGCUGGGCGGGCCUCAGGUGCUCUGACUGCAGGCAGGAAGGAAAGGUCUUGCAGAAGAGGUUUCCACUCCACACAACUGGACUUUCUAAUUGCAACAAGGGUGCUGUAGGCUGACAGCAUCCUGGUGCUCAGGUCAAAGUAUCCCCAAACAUGACCUGUAGUGUUCUCCUCAGCCUUUCUCCAAAGCUGGGUGCCCCAGACAUGGAACUGGGCUUUGGGACAGACACAAUGACCCCAAAGGUAUGCUACCCAAAGGGGCCUACAUACUGAUGGUGCGCUCCCACUGCUGUGGGGGCCCCGCUCUGAGAUCCCUGCCUUUCGUCACUGUUUGAUCCUACUCCUGCUAUGCUAUCCCUUUUCUGUGAGCUCCUAGGGCCAUCAUCUCAAUCUCUUUUAAGCAAGGAUCUGGGAACAGACUGGAUGGCCCAGGCCUCUUAUAUGUGACCUUGUGCUCAGGGAGCAAAGGGAGGAGAGUCGCUUUGGCCUUGGAGAGGGGACCUGUGCUUUUCCUGAGUGGCACAUCUUUGAAGUGUAAGGAUACAGAAUCAUCAUUCUGAGGGGCCCACCAGGACACCGAGGGAAGGACCUCAGAGAUGAGCGCUGAGCCUAUCAGAUAGGAUAGGGCUCUUGGGGGUGAUAUAAAACUGAGGUGGGUAAAGGCUCUGGGUCUGGGGAGAACCUCCCGGGGCUAGGGUGAGGAGAGGCACAGGCGCUGCCAGAAGGGGGAACAGACCAGGCAGGGGGAACAGGGAGGGCGAUGGCUGGCCUGGCAUGGGGGCUGGGCAGAAGAGACACUUGCUAAGGAAGUUGCUCAUGAAGGGCGGUUUGUGCACUGCUGGGUCCUGGGAGUGUGGUGCACAAUUUGGAGAGCUCUCCUACCUACCUGCUCCUCCCAGGUGAACCAUGCACUGUUCAGCCUGAUGCUUGUGACACAGCUUCAGAACGUGUGACAGAGGGAGGGGGCAUGCCCACAAAGAGCAAUGAAGAAAAGGCAUGAAAGGGCAAAGGAUGAAGCUGGGCUGCCCAGCCCCAGCAGAAUUGUCUAGCACUUAGAGACAGCCCUUGGCAAUUGUUUGGCAUCAGACACGCCCCACCGUAUGAGGGACUAUUCAGGACUGUAGAUUCCAGGAGCCUGCAUAACUGUCAGCCCCUAGGUCUCCAGGUGUGUAGGUUCCUCAGAACCUGACCCAGGGACAGCAACCAGUGCCUAUGAGUUUCCCAGCCCUUUUCCCCGGAGUCAGGGUAAGACAGAGCCUGCUAGUGCCAGAGCAGCCUAGGUCCUGCCAGGGUGGGGGCUUGCGCAGGGGAGUCAGGGUAAGAGACAGGGGCUUGGGGCAACAGGAGCCAACUCUGUUUGUGCCGUCACUAGUGUGCCCAGAUGUCUCAGGAUGGCGACGGGGGGCUGUGUACUAAGGCAGGGAAGACGGACAGAGCAGCGCGGGUGCGACUUACUCCAGACCCUUCCAUUCAGGCAGCCACCUCAGACGCAUCAGUUUACCCCCACUCACUCCCCUUCUCGUGCUAGUAGCUCAGGGCUACCAGACAUCACCUCCUUCAAAGACCUCUCUGUCACAGCUCCAAGUCCAGGAGCAGGCGUGCUCUCAGUGGCCUCCCUGGAAAGGCACAAGUCCCCAGUGUCUCCAGAAUUUUCUGAGGUGGAGCUGCGGUGCCCUGACCUGCCCGGAUGCUGCACCCCACAAUACCCUUUCCAGGGAGGCAGGUUCUCUUCACUUGUUUCUACAAAUUUUACAAAUUACAAACAGCAUUUAACUUUUCGAACCCUCCUCAGGUGGCCCACAUGGUAGUGGAGAGGCCAGGAUUUGAACCCAGUCCGUCCGAUUCCAGAGCUCAUGCAUUAACCACCCAACUCUGGUGCCUCCUCACCAUGCAGGCAUCAUGGUUGACCAUUUUUAUGGUCCUCAGGGGACUUAGCACCAUGGGCAUCUACAACGAGCACACGCACUGCCUACUAGCUGGUCUGGAUUGGUUCAACUCCUAAGGCACCCACAGGCCACGCUGGGCUCCGGUAUCCUCAGAAUCUUUUGGGAGCUCUGGAAAGUAGGACAGAGCACCAAUUGUCAGCAUCACCCCUUCAGGCAUUUCUUCACUAAGGGAGCCAUGCAGCAAACCACACAGCCGUCUGUGAGCUUUCUUCCCCCAGGUGCAGGAUCCACCCUAGCUGAAAAGUCUUAUGUCCCAAGGACACCAGAAUAUGUUGUAAUAAUUCCAUGGAUCCACUUUAAGGACCCUGAUCGAAAUUAACAACUUUCCAAUCUUAAAUUUUCCAUUCCAUCAAAACGGUACAUAUUUCCUUAUAUUUAGGACUUUCAAAUUUUCUCUCAGAAAAUACUUUGCUGUAGGGAUUGACAACUAACAGCCCAUGGGCCAAGAUUGUGCCGCAGCCUGUUUUUGUAAAGCCAAUGAGCUGAGGAUGGUAUUAACAGCUAUUAAAGUUUGUUUAAAAAAAAAGAAAGAAAAGGAAAAAGAAGAAAAAGAAAAAUGGAGAAUAUGCAACAAGACCAUAUGUAACCUGCAAAGUCUGUGUUAUUUAUUAUCUGGCCCUUUACAGAAAAAUUUGCCAACACCUCUUUUGUAGUUGUAGUGGUCUUAGACAACACUUGGUAAUCUAUUCCUAAAUUUCUUCUAUGCUAUCACAAAUGGUACCUUUUAAAUUUUAGUUUUCAAUUAUUCAUUGGUAGAAAAUACAACUGAUUUUUAUAUGUUAACCUUGUAUGCUGGAUUUUGUCAUUUUUGUAGUGAAGUGUUUAAGCACACUUUAUAUAAAGAUAUUUCUAACAAUCUAUUUUCAAGAUUCAUUCAGCAAGUGUUAUUUUAGUGAAUGGAAGUAAUACCCAUUCUGUAGAACUUGUAGUAAUUACUUCUAGUAGUUUCUUUGUAGAUUCCUUAGGAUUUUCUAAACACACAAUCAUGUUUUCAACGAAUAAAGAUAGUUUUACUUCCUUUUUAUUCUGUAGCCUUUUAUUUAUUUUUUAUACCUUUAUAUUUGCUAUAAUUACAGUAAAAUGUUGAGAAAAGGUAGAGCUAAUAGGCAUCUUUUUCCCACUCCUGAUCUUAAGGGAAAAGUGUUCAGUAAGCGAUUAAAUGAAGGUUUGUUGCACUUUAUCACUUGAAGGAAAUUUCCUCUAAUUACUAUUUUGCUGAAAGGGAUUUUCUAUUUCCUCUAAUUACUAUUUUUUGAAAGGGAUGUUCAAUUUUGUCAAUUACUUUGCCCACAGUUUUAAGAUAAUCACAUGGCUUUUCUCCUUUAUUUUCUAAAUGUGAUGAAUUACUUUGACUGCUUUCUGAGUGUUAAAACAAACUUGCACGCCUGGGACAAAUCCCAUUGGUACUCCUAGAUCAUCAUUUUAUAUUUGGUUGGAUUAGAUUUCCUAAAAUGUAGUUAAAGAUUUUUUAUCUCUGUGUUCAUGAGGGAUAUUGAACUGUGAAUUUCUUUGUCAUUAGGUUUGGUAUUAGGAUAAUGCUGGCCUAGAAGAAUGAGUUAGGAAAAAUUUCCUCCGUCUCUACUCUCUGAAAGAUUUUAUAUAACACUAGUAAAAUAUUGUCCUUACAAGUCUGAUAGAAUUCACCAGGAAAACCAUCUGGAUCUUUAGUUUUCAUCAUGGAAAGGAGUUUAGAGUCACUUGGCCACUUGUUGUCCUUUUAAUAUCUGUCAGAUCUGUAGUGAUGCACCCCUCUUUAUUCCUGAUGUUGGCCAUUUGAUUUUUUCCUUUCUAUUUCUUGAUAUAACUUGC
ensembl:lncRNA